UCUAAAAACUGGGAAAAAAGU
rnacentral:piRNA from 1 species